CAGUGCCUGUCGUCAACAAAUUAGUUUAGUCUUAUUUUGGACUUCGUCGUUGAUGGUUGUGUAGCGAUCCUGAAUAUUGUGCCGAACGCGCGCCUUUUCUGGCAUAAAAAAUAUGAAUACUUUGCAUCCGAAACAUUUGAGACUGGCUACAAAAUAACGAGGCGACUAGCCUCAAAAGAUGUUGUCACUGCAGUCUUUGGUUCUUUCGUUUUGUGGCAAAGAAUUCUCUUGGCGAUACAAAUUCAAAACAUGUAUAAAAUAUACUGAAGAAUGCUAGCUGAUUACAUAAAAUAAAAGAGCUUACUUUAUGCGUGUGUUAAAAUAUAUUAUACAAUAAUUUUAAUUUGGCAGUGUAGUGGCUAUAAGCCAGGUACCAUCUGAUAAAAAUUUACCUGCACUGACAAAAAAACUACAUUUUGACGCUUCUAAUAUAAAUAUUUAUUUUAACCUUCAAAAUAGGCUCCUUAGGCGCUAAAUCAUGCCAGCGCUUAAUACAAUUUUCUUUACAGUUGUUAUAUCUAAGUCUCGACUGAAAUGGCGUUCAGUGCAUUUUGCUGAAUUGUUUUUUUUAAUAUUUUUUUUCAUGUUAUUGUCAUUAGCAGAGGAUGGCGUGCUCGGACGUCUUCACGACCUUCACUGAAAAGCAAACUCAUUACUAAAUUUUUUUCCAUGGCAAACAUCGCUAAACAAACCUUCCGCGUCGUAAACACACAUCUGUCAAACACACACUAAUUGACGUAUGGGGACCAAACUUCACACGAAGAUUAAAAAGGUUGUACCAAUCUGGAUUAUUCACCGAUUUUAUUUCAAUUUGGUCAAGUUUUAUUUCAUUCGUAUUAUGUAAGACUAUUCACAAGGUGAAAGAAAACUUCCAGAUAUUUGUGAAAAAGAGUAUGAUACGCCAGAGAAAAGCCAAGACAACACAUUCAUUGGUCACUAUACAAAACAAAUAGAAUACUAACGAGAAAUAGUUGGAAUUAUUAGGUCGAAAAAUAUCUAUUUUUCGUGUCUGAAUAAUAUAUAAUAUAUUAUAUAUAUUUAUAAUUGCUGAAAUACUGUGACACUGGAUUGAGCCCAUUAAGUUUAAUGGAUAACAUACUUUAACAAAUGAUUGAGAGUUGUAGAAACCUCAGAAUAAUUCAAGGCCACCUUACAUAUAUAUGAACACUUAAAAUUAUUAUAAUUCAUCCUUCAGAAAUUAUCAAUUACUGAGUAGAAAUGAGAUGUUCGUAAAUAUAUCCUAAGUAUAGAAACAUAUGUACAAGAAAUUGCUAACAUUAUGUCCCUCAUAAUAUUUUCUGUAUACUGUUCAAUAUAGUUAUAGUAUUCUAGUCUAUGAUAUUGUUGAAUUAAAAGCAAAUAUUUCCGUGGUAAUAAAUAAAAUUGGUAGAAUAAACAGGACAACUGGAAGAUUUUAGUGAUAGCUUCUAGCUACACAACACAAACCAAUUCUUUACCAUAAUAACGUCAACUCGUUUAUUCUUCUGCUUGCAAGUUAAACUUAUAAACAAUAGUGUUAUUUAAGUAUUAAUAUGAAAAAUUAUUACAUUUAGCUUAAACUUUCAGUGGCUUCAAAUAAGCUUGCGGUUUGAGAAAUUAGAAAAUGUAGAAUUUACUGUGUGAUUCACUGUAUAUUUACUUGACUGUGCUUAGCUGGCAACGACCCAAUAGUAUUGCAUAAUUAAUAUGGGAGUAACUGCAAUGGUGUUGAACAGGAGUGUAUGUACAGUGUACACACAUACACUCACAAUCGAAUUUAUGUACCUUAUAUAUUGGCCAGGGGCCAUAUCCACUUUGUCAAGUUGCUGUUUGAAUGGCCAGUUUGAGAAUUGAAAGCAAUUAUUAAGUUCGGUGUUAGCAAUUAAAUCGAAAGGUUUUGGUUUGGAAAUAAUUUAAUAUAUUUAUAUGAUAAGUAUAUAUAUAAACAUUUUUUGUUGCAUAAUAUUUGAAACCAUGUAUAUCUAACCUAUUUGCUUAAGUAGCAGUAAAAAGGUAGCAGAAAAGGAUUACUUAUUAUUGUAAGAAAGUUUUGCAUUCAAGAUCUCCUAUGAGUUUUGUGGUCCACUAGAGAACUGAAAAUUCAAAAUUCUAUAGCGCAAUAUAUGAAACAAAAAUUAUUUAAUUAAUUUUAAGGGCUAUAGAAUAUAUUAAUUUAACUAAAAAUCCCAUAUAAAGUAGUUUCAAUUGUUUUUAAGCAUUAAACAUACUGCAAGUAUAGAGUUUUAAUAUCUAUGCCCCUUAAAGUCACAGGAAAAAGAAAACUUUCAAAAUCCAGUUGCAAUAGUGUCAUUAUUAUUAUAUUAGUCCAAAGGUUUUAAAGCGAAAAUGUCAACCAAAUAAACCACUUUAGAUUAUAUACUGUCUAGUAAAAACAAAUCCAUUUUUUCCAAAAGAUGGCAUUAGUAAUCUGUGUCUUAAUCGGGUUACGUUAUACGGAGAUAGAAAAAUAAAAUUUCGUACUAAAAAACUUCUGAGAUAGGUUCUGAUUGUGCACCAUAUAUUCGUUUUCGUUUAAUAAAGGUAAAAACUUAAGCUGGGCAACUGAGAAUGUGAGUAGUGUUUUUGGUCUUAAUACUGUAACAGCCAAUCAUGUGGAAUUUUGGUUUUGUCGAUUCCGUUUCAGUAAUUUUGAUGUCAAAAAUGCACAGCGCUCUGUAAGAUCAAUUGUCGAAAAUGUCGAUUACUGGAAACCGUUGAGUCUGACCAUCAUGUAAGUAUUUUCGAGAUUGCCCAGGAGUUAAUCAUUAGACAAACGACAGUUUGCAACUAUUUAAAUGAAUUCAAAAACAAACUCGAUGGAUGAGGUAAUGAAAAGUGGGAUACUUACUGCAACGGCUAAAAACGGAUAAAAUUGACAAAAUCGCCUCAAGAGAAGCUCCUGGAAAACGACAGUCUCAUUUUUUGUCAAUAGGAACGAUGGUUUUCAUAAAAGGAAGAUUUUUAGAUUGCCUAAAAAUUGCAACAUUCCACAAACAAUGACAGUAACUACAGUAGCACUGACGGAGGAUCUAAAUACCGCAGCAAUGGUGGUUGCAAAAUUCAAGAGCAAAGGCCUGUAUAGAUACCGUAGAUAAAAAAAUAUAAGUUUUCACAAAUUAAAACUUAAAUUCAACUCCAUUAUUUAUUAUACUUAACUUCAUUUCGUUAUUUCUAAGCUAUACACAUGUUCUCCUCCUCAAAAAAUGUCAUAGAUAUAGAUACCCUUAUAUCCAUAGCAUCCAAUUCAGUUGAAAGUCCUUACGCUUCCCUUAACACACAUUUUUUUACUUUGCCUCCCCUUCACUUACCUGGGAAAUCCUUUCAACAACUCAAUGCAUCCACUUGUCUCAUUUAUUACUCCGUUGCAAUAGCCAGUUUUGUCGUUUGUUGUUUUAGGAGGUCAUUUAAAUGUUGUGUUUACCAUAAGAGGAAUGUUUGUACCCAUUAUAUACCUAGCUUGUGUCUAUGAAUAUAUUAGUAGUAUGUUAGUAUGCUUAUGAUGUUUUUUAAACAAUGUGGACUUAUUGCACAUAUGUAUUUUAUAUAUUUACAAAAUAACAACAAUAACAAUGGGUAGGAUGCGUCGAAAAAAUAGAUCAACGAUUCAGUAAAAAAGUGCUUCACACAAAAUCGAAUACAGCAGAUAUUUCAUUGUCGUCAUCCUUGAAUAAUGUUUAUAAUGGUGCCAUAUCAAGCUUAUGGAAUUCACCGGAUCACGGUACGGGGAGAGAGUAUAAUCAAUUUUAAAUGUUUUCAUACACGAUUUGCAUUCAACAAAAGCGCCACAGUUUCAACGAUGGCAGUAUGACAAACGAUUAUGCCACUUGAAGUGUCAGCACUUACUCUCGGGUGUCGGGCAUUUGCUCUCUUUAAUAAUCGAGCCAUACUCAACGCUGAAAAAUCACCAACGGAGGAUGUCAGUUACAACUGUGCCUGUCAAAAUCGAUCAAACUGCAAAGGGGAAGGAAAAUAAAUUUGAAUGCGGGUAAUUGCAGGGGACGCUUAGAGAAUCACACAGUCAAACAGACCGGAAAGCAGCAAGUCACGCAUACAUUUAGUUAGGAUAUGGAGAAAGCAAAACCUUACCUUGUCAACCCGAAAUCACAUCCAGUAUUCUCUGCGAUACAAAAUCAGCUGGCCAACUGGUUUCACCCUAAUUGGAUUCUUCAAGCGCCUUCUUCUUCCGUGGUAAUGAGGGAUGCUUGACGUAUCUCCUUCAAAUAUUACACAUUUUAUUUAGGAGAUGCGAACGUAUGCGAACAUUGACACUUUUUAUAGCGUGGUAACCGAAAUAUUCAGCAUUGCAGAGGCAGGAUCUCAGAUAAGGUAUCUCUGGAAGUAUAUGAGAAGAUAAACUAGUGGUGCCUUUGAUCAUAUAAAGCAUAAGUUGCAGUAACAAAACAAGAGAAAAGUCUGUCCUGCAUUUAUAAAACUACAUGGAGAAACAUUUAGUUCCCUUUCAAUGGCCAACAUACGAUUUGAAGAUACAACUGUCAUAUUGCGUUGAAUUCGUCCAAAUGCCAUCACAUAACAUAAACAUAAUAGCUUAAACACAAUAUGGGCGACGAUGAAUAUUCGUCGGUUUCGGCGAGUGUUGCCGUAGUGUAAAACACAAUUCCGACCAAUUUCCGCGGUCAAAAAUAUCACAAUAAAUGACGAAUACAAACAUAAACAAUCUUAAUAUUGCCAACGCAGACGUUUUAUUAAUUUUUUUUUUAAUUCCUAAGAUAUUUACUGAAAACAAUCUUUCUUUAAAAUGGUGAAGCCGUUUUUGCCGCCGCGGUCGGCGAUAAAAUUAGAAAUAACUCUAUUUUAAAAAUCGUCAUGGUAGACGAAAUGCGCCGCCCUCUCGUGUAUUGUGUUAAUCUUCAUAUACCAUCGUGUAUUCUAAUCACCGACGGCGUCGCCGAGUACGACGAAUAAUCGUGGUCGCCCGUAUUGUGAUUAAGCUAUAAAGGAGAUUAAAACCAGAAAGUUUUAAAGCGAACUCAAAUAUUUUUCAUUAAGUUCUUAGAAUAUAUUUGAGAACGUAAUAUUUUUAAUUCUUUAAUUAUUUUUCUACAGCAAAUGAAACUACUACUAAAAUAUGUUUAGUUAAGUGUGCUUGUUAAUAAUACAAUAGCUUCGUCAAUUUAUUUCAAGUCCAGAUUUGUACUGCGUCUAUAUAAAAUGUGUAUUUAUUUUUGUACUGAAUCGUUAUUAGAAAAAAUAAUUACAUAAUAAA